rnacentral:rRNA from 1 species
GUAGGUGGUUGAUUAAGUUAUCUGUGAAAUUCCUGGGCUUACCCUGGGACGGUCAGAUAAUACUGGUUCACUCGAGUAUGGGAGAGGGUAGUGGAAUUUCCGGUGUAGCGGUGAAAUGCGUAGAGAUCGGAAGGAACCCCAGUGGCGAAGGCGGCUACCUGGCCUAAUACCUGACACUGAGGCACGAAAGCGUGGCGAGCAAACAGGAUU